CUUUAUGUGCGGCAUCGUGGAUUCGGCGUGAACAAGGAGGUUCGUGGAUUCAGAUCGUGGGCUCGUGGAUUCGAGUGGCGUUCGUGGAUUUGGACGUGGGCAUAGCGUUCGCGGAUUCGAACGUGGGGCUUGGACAACCGGUGACGUGCGCGAGAUCCGUAGGAGGUUAAGAGAGGCCGUGUGAGGACUGCGAUUUGGCAGUGUAGCUAAACUCUCUGUUGAUGGUGUUUUUAUGUGUAAUUUAAUUACAUAA
rnacentral:lncRNA from 1 species